UAUCACUGUUCCCUCUCAGCUGCGCCCGUGCGCAAUUGCGCACUGCUGACACGGUCUCCGCGCACAGAAAAUCUGCGCUGCGCACAAAAAGAAAAUCAAACCUAAAUUGUAAAUAAAAUAAACACUAACAAUUCAUUCUGUGCUAUUUUUCAGUGUGAGUCAGUGAGUGACCGGUGACUGGCUGCUGCAGCCAAUGAUGCGAUUCACAUACGUAUUUACCAUAGACUGUAUAUAAUGGUAUUUACGCAGCUAAUCAACGUCAGGCGUCCUUAUGUGCAGCCACCGCUGUUCUCAUAGAUAUGAAUGAGUAGAUAGGACACGCCCCUUUGAGCUGUGUGCUACAGCGAGGCUAAGCUAGUGGGGGCAAAGUUUCAGUGCAUUCCGUUGAUGUAGACAGCGUGAAAACGGAAACAACAAAUAUGCCAGCUCACUGUGCUGCAUACAAUUACACACUACGUCGUACGAUUGAGACAAGGAAACUUGGAAUGACUUUUCAUAGGUUUCCCAGAGACUAUGGGUUGAGGAGGAAUUGGAAGUUUGUCGGCUUAGACCUGGUGUCAUUCCAUCAGUGUUAAACUUCCCAGCUCAUCUUGGAAGAGUACGUGCCAGAAAGACCACGAUCAAGCAGCCUUGAGAUCUUAGGCAGCGUCUCCCUCAGGUCCCUCUCUAUCUCCCUACACAUCCACCAACCACUGGAACACAUCUCCAAAGUUCUGCCGGGCCAGCUCAGCUUCCCCUCAGAAGAAGUGCUGCCACCUGCCAGAUGAAGGAGCCUUUUGAGAGGCAGCUGGCAUCGUGAUUGGACUGUACUUUGGUCUGUUCCAAUCCAGCUUCAGCUCCAGAGACGGCAGGCAGGACGAGUCAACGGAGGCCGGGUGGACGAAGACAUGAAGCUGAGUACAAUCCAGAAAACAACAGAGGAGGAGUGCAGGGCCAGAACAAACAGAUUAGCAUCGUAUGUCUCUGAGAAAACAUCAUAGUAUAGCCUUUGGUAAGAAAAAACACCAUCAUAUACAUCGUAUAUUGUACAAAUAACAAGUCAAAGCAAAGAGACAUACAUUGUAGAAUUGGAGUAAUUGUGGGCUGACUGAUUUACUGAUUAUCAGUAUUUUCUACUGAUUUACGGUAAUAAAUAAAUUUAAAAAUGGCGCUACUUUGGCUCUGAACCUUUAUCUACCUGUGGUCGCUCUGUCUUCUGGAGUGAUUUGAUUGGUUAUACGUCAUGAAUAAAACUCCUUUAACUUAACAUCUGUUAAGGUUGAUAAACGUUGACCUCCGUUCAUUUCUCUGGAGCCGACUCCAUGGAUUUUAUGGAUGGUGGUUAAAGACCUGCUCUUCGAGUGGUCUUCCAUCUAGUCGCUAUAAAAAGUCAGUCCAUCCUGACUGACUUCAACACCUCUUCAUGACAGCUUGUUCUGCCUCGGACCUGGUGGAAACUCCAGAAACUCGGGAAAACCCAUGGAGACUCGAAGAACUCGUGGAGACUCGAAGAACUCGUCGGCGGGGGAAGGUGUGGUGGGUGGUGGUGGAGUAGAGGGGGGAGGCCGCCACCCACCUCCCCGCCUACUCUCUGCCCUGACUCCACCCAGACUCCGCCUUGGGUCCACCCAUGUGGUCACUUUAUUAACUACGAUGCCAAAGGGACGACGAAAUUACUUCUUUUCGUCCGAUCUGUAGCUCAGUGAGUUAAGGAUUUGCCUGUGGAGCUGCAGGUCGCUGGUUCAAGACCAGACACUUCUUAAAUUUUAUCAAAAGCCUGACAAAGACAAACAAAGAAAAAUGCCAGUGGUGGGUCUUGAACCUACUACCUUCCACUUGGUAGUCUCUCUUCUUACCCCCUGAGCUACUUGCUCAGGUACUAAUGCUUCUUUUUUUUGCACAUUUAUCAUAAAUUUUUUUUUGCCAUUUUCGAGUUUUUUUUUUUUAACUUGAGUCUCGACUCGACCGUUUUUCUCAGGAGGUUGGACUUCAGCCUUUGUGCUGGAGGGUUGAACCCUCAGUUCCAAGACUUUCAAAGCCUCCAGACCUCCCGAGUCCUCAGGACCUGAGCUUUCACACAGUCUGAGGGCUGAAAUUUUCUAAGUCCCACAGUAGUUCUCUGUUAGAUUUAACUUCCAGACAGUCCAAGGACUGAUAUCUUCUAAGUUCCUGAGUACUUCUCUUAGUUUGAACCUUCAGACAGUCUGAGGACUGAAAUCUUAAAAGUUCUUGAGUAGUUCUCUGUUAGUUUGAACUUUCAGACAGUCUGAGGACUGAAAUUUUAAAAGUUUCUCAGUACUUCUCUGUUAGUUUGAACUUUCUGGUUAACAGAAGCCUUAAAACUUGUGACCAUGAGUCUUGAUUUCACAUUUAGACCAUCCAUCUGAGUUCUUCUCAGACCUUCACCUGUGGGUUUUUUAGAAAUCCUCAACAAACUUUGAUUCUCUUCACUGAACAGUAAAGUUUGUGGAGAUCAGAAGGUAACAUUAGUUUGAUCGAUGCCUUCAACUACUAGUAGACUUUAUCUGGAAAUCAGUUUUCUGAAAUGAGUUCUUAGUAAAUCUGUCCACAAUCAAACCAAAAACAUAGAAAGAGGAAAUGUUUGAAGAAACAACUUGAUGUUUUCAUUUCAGACUAGAAAACACUUUAAGAUCUUUAUCUGUUUUUGCUCUUUUUGAUCGUUUUAUUGUCUCUUCUGUUUAAUUUGAUCUUCUAAAGUCUAACUGGUGUCUUUUGAAAUGUUUUGUCUUUAGUUUGAUUCUUCUUAAACGUUUAGUUUUGCUCUUUUCUCACCUUUUAUUCUUUUCUAAUGUCUGAUUUGAUUUCCAAAUAUUUUGUCUUUUUAAUGUUUAUUUGUUUUUUCAAAUGUUUUAUUGGCUUGUUUGAGUUUCUUUUUCUUUCCCAAUAUUUAAUGUUUCGAUUAAAUCUUUAAGGUUUUUCUUUUUAAAUGUUUUACCACCUUUUAAUGUCUAAUUUUUUUUUUAAAUGCGUCAUUGUAUUUUCUGUGUGAAUCCUAUUUGAAGUUUUAUUGUCUUUAAGAUGUAAUUUUCUAAUUAAAGCUGCAAGCAGCGUUGGACGGGUCCUCGCAUCCUUGCUGGUCGGCGAAUCCGCGCACGUCCACCAGGCGGCGCUGCGACCGAGAGUGCAUGUUGGCCUACGGAUGCGAUGAGGGCCGGACUCUGAUCACACGUGUAAAAUUUCAGGCAGAUUGGAGCACGUUCAGGCUACUUAUAGAGCUUUUCCUGUCCAUCCACCAGGUGGCGCUGCGACCGAGAGUGUAUAUUGGCCUGUGGAUGUGAUCAGGGUCAGACUCUGAUCACACGUAAAAUUUCAGGCAGAUCGGACCAUGUCCAGGCUAGUUAUAGAGCAUUUCCUUCCAUCCACCAGGUGGCGCUGCGACCCAGAGUUUAUGUCGGCCUAUGGAUGUGAUCAGGACUGGACUCUGAUCACACCUGUAAAGUCUGAGGCAGAUCGGAGCAUGUUUAGGGCAGUUACACAGCAGUUGAUGUUUCAUGGCGAAGCAUCAAAAUUCACGAGGCCGCCAUGGCCACGCCCUCAGACUUAAGUGUCUCAUGUGGCCCUGCAGCUUCUCCUCCUCCACCUCCUCCUGAAGCCUUCAUCUUCUUCAUCAUCAGCUGCUCAGUGACUCUGUUGGACGUCUCACCGUGUGGCAGCAGCUCAGGAGUUUGCAGUCAACCAAGGCCGACUCAGAAUCACUCCCACCGGGAAGAUCUGUGAAGGAAGGUCCACCCGGCUGGUCCAGAAGCUCCGGUCCAGCAGAGCAGCGUCAGGAUGGAGACGUAACCGGGUGAGUUAACAAGAGAGGCGACACAUUCACAUAGAAAAUCCAACAAUUCCUUCUGUUUUUACAGUUUGUGACUCUGGUAAAUGGUGUCAUUUUUCAAAGCUGGUGGGUUUUGGGCUUCACAGAUUGAACCUAAAUGCUUUUCUUAAACAAACUGCUGAGCUGCUGCACAGUGAAAUGUUUGAGUGGAGCUCAGGAUGAAAGCAUCAGAGCUGUUUUACAUGUUUUUAUGUUCAGCUAAUAUCAUUUCCUCUGGACAAUGUUUGUGGUGUUAGAAGUG